AAGUGGAUUCAAGCUCAGUGGUAGAGUGCUUGCCUAGCAUACAUAAGGCCCUGGGUUCCAUCCCCAAUUUACCUA
rnacentral:tRNA from 1 species